rnacentral:rRNA from 1 species
UACGAAGGGGGCUAGCGUUGUUCGGAAUUACUGGGCGUAAAGCGCACGCAGGCGGCUCGAUAAAUUAGAAGUGAAAGCCCCGGGCUUAACCUGGGAAUUGCUUUUAAGACUGUCGGGCUAGAAUCCAGAAGAGGGUAGUGGAAUUCCGAGUGUAGAGGUGAAAUUCGUAGAUAUUCGCAAGAACACCAGUGGCGAAGGCGGCUCACUGGCCCGGAACUGACGCUGAGGUGCGAAAGCGUGGGGAGCAAACAGG